CAUUCAGGAGGCAUCUCCCUGGAGACUGAGUAGAUGGUAGGAGUCCCCUGGGGUGCUGUCAGCUCCACUCGAUGAACCUCUGGAGAAAGGCCAAAAUACUAGAUGGAUCCCUGUGGAAUGACGGUUGUCAUUACAGGCAGGCUCGGUUUGCCGGUUGCUGCUGAGUGCUGCCUUUCCUGCUUACAGACUGUCAGAAAAGGAAACAGGGAAACAGCCUCCAGACAACAGCUACUCAAUUCUCAGUUCG